GAUGAACGCUGGCGGCGUGCCUAACACAUGCAAGUCGAGCGAUGAAGCUUCUUCGGAAGUGGAUUAGCGGCGGACGGGUGAGUAACACGUGGGUAACCUGCCUUAUAGUGGGGAAUAGCCUUUCGAAAGGAAGAUUAAUACCCCAUAAGAUUGUAGUUUCGCAUGAAACAGCAAUUAAAGGAGCAAUUCGCUAUAAGAUGGACCCGCGGCGCAUUAGCUAGUUGGUGGGGUAACGGCUCACCAAGGCGACGAUGCGUAGCCGACCUGAGAGGGUGAUCGGACAGUGGGACUGAGGCACGGCCCAGACUCCUACGGGAGGCAGCAGUGGGGAAUAUUGCACAAUGGGGGAAACCCUGAUGCAGCAACGCCGCGUGAGAGAUGACGGUCUUCGGAUUGUAAAGCUCUGUCUUUAGGGACGAUAAUGACGGUACCUAAGGAGGAAGCCACGGCUAACUACGUGCCAGCCGCCGCGGUAAAAC
rnacentral:rRNA from 1 species